rnacentral:rRNA from 1 species
UGGGCGUAAGCGCGCGCAGGUGGUUUCUUAAGUCUGAUGUGAAAGCCCACGCCUCUACCGUGGAGGGUCAUUGGAAACUGGGAGACUUGAGUGCCUAAGAGGAAAGUGGAAUUCCAUGUGUAGCGGUGAAAUGCGUAGAGAUAUGGAGGAACACCAGUGGCGAAGGCGACUCUCUGGUCUGUAACUGACACUGAGGCGCGAAAGCGUGGGGAGCAAACAGGAUUAGAUACCCUGGUAGUCCACGCCGUAAACGAUGAGUGCUAAGUGUUAGAGGGUUUCCGCCCUUUAGUGCUGAACUUAACGCAUUAACCACUCCGCCUGGGGAGUACGGCCGCAAGGCUGAACCUC